CCUACGGGAGGCAGCAGUAGGGAAUAUUGGACAAUGGGCGAAAGCCUGAUCCAGCAAUGCCGCGUGAGUGAUGAAGGCCUUAGGGUCGUAAAGCUCUUUUACCAGGGAUGAUAAUGACAGUACCUGGAGAAUAAGCUCCGGCUAACUCCGUGCCAGCAGCCGCGGUAAUACGGAGGGAGCUAGCGUUGUUCGGAAUUACUGGGCGUAAAGCGUACGUAGGCGGUUAUUCAAGUCAGAGGUGAAAGCCCGGGGCUCAACCCCGGAACUGCCUUUGAAACUAGGUAGCUAGAAUCUUGGAGAGGUCAGUGGAAUUCCGAGUGUAGAGGUGAAAUUCGUAGAUAUUCGGAAGAACACCAGUGGCGAAGGCGACUGACUGGACAAGUAUUGACGCUGAGGUACGAAAGCGUGGGGAGCAAACAGGAUUAGAUACCCUGGUAGUCCACGCCGUAAACGAUGAUAACUAGCUGUUCGGGCACUUGGUGCUUGAGUGGCGCAGCUACGCAUAAGUUAUCCGUCCGUCGGGUAGGUACGGUCGCGAGAAUUAAACUUAAAACGUAAAGUUAGUACGGCGUGAGACGUGCCGACGGACGACGACGAGGGAGGUAGG
rnacentral:rRNA from 1 species